rnacentral:rRNA from 1 species
GAUGAACGCUGGCGGCGUGCUUAACACAUGCAAGUCGAACGAUGAAGCCCAGCUUGCUGGGUGGAUUAGUGGCGAACGGGCGAGUAAGACGGGAGUAACCUGCCCUCAACUCUGGGAUAAGCCUGGGAAACGGGGACUAAUACCGGAUAGGAGAGACGACCGCAGGGUGGGUGCAGGAGAGCUUCAUCGGUUUUGGAUGGACACGCGGCGUAUCAGCUUGUUGGUGGGGUAGUGGUACACGAAGGCGACGACGGGUAGCCGGCCUGGGAAGGUGACCAGCCUCAAUGCGCCUACGGCACGGCCCAGUCUCCUACGGUAGGCAACAGUGGGGAGUAUUGCCCAGUCGGCGCGCGCCUGAUGCAGAGGCGCCGCGUGAGUAAUGACGGCCUUCGGGUUGUAAACCUCUUUCGGUAAGGAAGAAGCGAUAGUGACGGUACCUGCAGAAGAAGCACCGGCUAACUACGUG